rnacentral:misc_RNA from 1 species
GUGAAUCAUCAAAUCUUUGAACGCAAAUUGCACUAUCCUCGGAGAGUAUGCCUGCUUGAGGGUCAGCCUAUAAAAAAUCGACAUAGUUGCUGUUUCGCGGUGGCGUUCGUCGGAAAUUGGGUCAUGUUAAAUCUUUUGGUUUUAAGAGAUUUAAAAUGUUCGUUUUGGUUCGAUGAAGGUUUCUAAGAUUUAUUUAUUUAUACGUUUAAGGUAUCGAUUUUUAUUAGAUGUGAACAUGAUAUCGGAUCGCGCGUAUAAUC